GGACUAAAGGAAAAAUAUCCCAUUUAGUGAAAACUCGAAAUCCCCCUGGAACGGGUCGGGUCACAUGGGUCAGAGUCUUAAACGGUGUCGUUUUGGGCUACUGGAAUCAGCACCAAACGCCGUCGUUUCAGGGGUGUUAUAAAACUACGUUUUUCUAAAAAAAAUGUCACUUUGAUAGGUGUUUUAAAAAAAAAGGAAUGGAGAAACCCUUUUUCUCUGAAAUGAGUGGUCAAGCGCCGGCCAAGGGGUCUAAUGUCUCUCUGCCUUAGCCCCGCCGUGGUCCGCCAUGUCCCCACCGCAUACGGUGGUCGGAGGCGCGCAAACUUAGGCGAUGUUCGGCCUAUUUCACUCCCUUUUCUCCUUUUUAAAAGAAACAAAAAGACAUUUGAAACCUAGAUCUAAAAAUGAACAGACAUCAAGAAAGGAAAGAAGUCACGAAGGGAAGCCUUCGUCUUUUCCACACUCCGAGCCUUCGUCAGAACCAUAUGGGUUCUAAGGCGUUCGUUUACUGGAGCUUUUCUUGGCAGUGACGGAAGACGAACCACCGGUUAUAGAAGGGGUCAACGACGAGGUAGGUGGCCAUUUUGGUGCUAGCGAGCCAGGGGAGCCGACCCUCGAGCGGAGUUCACGCUGAGGCACAUGGGUGGUAGCUACGGCGCCUAGUAGGAAGGGAAACCCUAGGGUUUCUGUUUUCUGAAAAAUUUUGGGCUAUUGGGCUUGUUUUCAUUACUGGGCCACUAUAAUUUGGUCCGUUUUAGGGGUUUUGGGUGUAAUGGGGUUUUAGUAAUAUGGACUGUGAAUAUUUUCUGGUUUUCA